UACGUAGGACCCAAGCGUUGUCCGGAUUUACUGGGUAUAAAGGGUGCGCAGGCGGCCGAGUGCGUCAGAGGUGAAAUAUCCAUGCUUAACGUGGAGGGUGCCUUUGAUACGGCUUGGCUUGAGUCCGAGAGAGGGUGAUGGAAUUCCUGGUGUAGCGGUGAAAUGCGUAGAUAUCAGGAGGAACACCGGUGGCGAAGGCGGUCACCUGGCUCGGAACUGACGCUCAGGCACGAAAGCGCGGGGAUCAAACAGG
rnacentral:rRNA from 1 species